rnacentral:rRNA from 1 species
AGUGAACGCUGGCGGUAGGCCUAACACAUGCAAGUCGAACGGCAGCACAGUAAGAGCUUGCUCUUACGGGUGGCGAGUGGCGGACGGGUGAGGAAUACAUCGGAAUCUACUUUUUCGUGGGGGAUAACGUAGGGAAACUUACGCUAAUACCGCAUACGACCUACGGGUGAAAGCAGGGGAUCUUCGGACCUUGCGCGAUUGAAUGAGCCGAUGUCGGAUUAGCUAGUUGGCGGGGUAAAGGCCCACCAAGGCGACGAUCCGUAGCUGGUCUGAGAGGAUGGGCUGACACACGGGACCUGAGUCUGGGCCUAGACGCAGACGGGGGGUGGCAGUGGGAAAUAUUGGAAAAGGGGCCCAAUCCUGUGCCACACAUGCCGCGUAGUUGAAGAAGGCGUUCUGGUUGUAAUGCCUUUUUGUUGGGAAAGAAAAGCAUAAUGUUAUUCCCCAGCUGGUCUGACGUGACCCAAAGAAUAAGCACAGGCUAACUUCGGGCCAGCAGCCGCGGUAAUAGAUCGAAGAGCACUCGUCGAAC